GAUGAACGCUGGCGGCGUGCCUAAUACACGCAAGUCGAGCGAACAGACGAGGAGCUUGCUCCUCUGACGUUAGCGGCGGACGGGUGAGUAACACGUGGAUCACCUUCCUAUAAGACUGGGAUAACUUCGGGAAACCGGAGCUAAUACCGGAGAAUAUAUUGAACCGCAUGGUUCAAUAGUGAAAGACGGUUUUGCUGUCACUUAUAGAUGGAUCCGCGCCGCAUUAGCUAGUUGGUAAGGUAACGGCUUACCAAGGCAACGAUGCGUAGCCGACCUGAGAGGGUGAUCGGCCACACUGGAACUGAGACACGGUCCAGACUCCUACGGGAGGCAGCAGUAGGGAAUCUUCCGCAAUGGGCGCAAGCCUGACGGAGCCACGCCGCGUGAGUGAUGAAGGUCUUCGGAUCGUAAAGCUCUGUUAUUAGGGAAGAACAAAUGUGUAAGUAACUAUGCACGUCUUGACGGUACCUAAACAGAAAGCACCGGCUAACUACGUG
rnacentral:rRNA from 1 species